rnacentral:misc_RNA from 1 species
AACGCACAUUGCGCCUCCCUUAACAGGGAGGCAUGCCUGUCUGAGUCUCAUUUAAUCUAUAAACCCGACGAAUGGGUUUGUGCCUGGGCGUUCGCUUGACCGGCGUCGCCUCAAAGUCAUCUGUCUUGUGAGCGGACGAGAUCCUUUCGGACUGACCGUUUGUGGGACCCUAAAUCUCUGAUUUGAGCUCAGAUCAGGUAGGACUACCGCCUGAACUUAA